rnacentral:rRNA from 1 species
UUCCGGUUGAUCCUGCCAGAGGUUACUGCUAUCGAGGUUCGACUAAGCCAUGCGAGUCGAAUGUAGCAAUACAUGGCGUACUGCUCAGUAACACGUGGACAACCUACCCUCCGGACGGGUAUAAACCCGGGAAACUGGGUAUAAUCCCCGAUAGAUCUCGACUGCUGGAAUGCAUCGAGAUCGAAAGCUCCGGCGCCAGAGGAUGGGUCUGCGGCCUAUCAGGUAGUAGUGGGUGUAGCGUACCUACUAGCCUACGACGGGUACGGGUUGUGAGAGCAAGAGCCCGGAGAUGGAUUCUGAGACACGAAUCCAGGCCCUACGGGGUGCA